AUAAGGAAAAAGAAAAUAGAAAUUAAAAAAAAAUGAUCUCAUCCUUCUACUCUCUCGUUCACGCUCCCUCUCUCCAUGCCGAGUUCUCCAUCUCUGUAAAGAUUUUCAAUAGCCCUCUACUCCCUCCGAUCAGCCACCGCAACUCCUCUGGCCGCUCCAUCAUGAAACAUGUAAAACACUCCAUUAAUCCAAGCUCUCAAUUCCCCUUCUUCCCCUCAAUUUUGGAGCUUAGGUUGCAAACUCACCUCCACUAAUCUUUGGAAAAUAGUAAAAUUAGAGAGUAUAGAAGCGAGUGAACUCGCUAGUUGGCAGCAGCACGUGUCAAGUCACCACCUCCCUUUUUGCUGGUACAGUCGGAGUUUACACGUGGCAUGCUUAGGUUAUCUUUUGUUGUAAAUAGUUGGGUUACAAAUGUAAGGUUAUAACCUUCUUUUUGCUAGUGGAGUUGUAUGUAUAUCUAUCUAAACAGGUUAAUGUUAUUUUGUUAUGUAUAGUACUCCCUCCGUUCCAUGUUAAUAGAGUCAUUUUACCAUUA